rnacentral:rRNA from 1 species
GGUUAAGCGACUAAGCGUACACGGUGGAUGCCUAGGCAGUCAGAGGCGAUGAAGGGCGUGCUAAUCUGCGAAAAGCGUCGGUAAGCUGAUAUGAAGCGUUACAACCGACGAUACCCGAAUGGGGAAACCCAGUGCAAUUCGUUGCACUAUUGCAUGGUGAAUACAUAGCCAUGCAAGGCGAACCGGGGGAACUGAAACAUCUAAGUACCCCGAGGAAAAGAAAUCAACCGAGAUUCCCCCAGUAGCGGCGAGCGAACGGGGAGGAGCCCAGAGUCUGAAUCAGUUUGUGUGUUAGUGGAAGCGUCUGGAAAGUCGCACGGUACAGGGUGAUAGUCCCGUACACAAAAAUACACUUGCUGUGAACUCGAUGAGUAGGGCGGGACACGUGACAUCCUGUCUGAAUAUGGGGGGACCAUCCUCCAAGGCUAAAUACUCCUGACUGACCGAUAGUGAACCAGUACCGUGAGGGAAAGGCGAAAAGAACCCCGGCGAGGGGAGUGAAAUAGAACCUGAAACCGUGUACGUACAAGCAGUGGGAGCACCUUCGUGGUGUGACUGCGUACCUUUUGUAUAAUGGGUCAGCGACUUAUAUUUUGUAGCAAGGUUAACCGAAUAGGGGAGCCGUAGGGAAACCGAGUCUUAACUGGGCGUCUAGUUGCAAGGUAUAGACCCGAAACCCGGUGAUCUAGCCAUGGGCAGGUUGAAGGUUGGGUAACACUAACUGGAGGACCGAACCGACUAAUGUUGAAAAAUUAGCGGAUGACUUGUGGCUGGGGGUGAAAGGCCAAUCAAACCGGGAGAUAGCUGGUUCUCCCCGAAAGCUAUUUAGGUAGCGCCUCGUGAACUCAUCUUCGGGGGUAGAGCACUGUUUCGGCUAGGGGGUCAUCCCGACUUACCAAACCGAUGCAAACUCCGAAUACCGAAGAAUGUUAUCACGGGAGACACACGGCGGGUGCUAACGUCCGUCGUGAAGAGGGAAACAACCCAGACCGCCAGCUAAGGUCCCAAAGUCAUGGUUAAGUGGGAAACGAUGUGGGAAGGCAUAGACAGCCAGGAUGUUGGCUUAGAAGCAGCCAUCAUUUAAAGAAAGCGUAAUAGCUCACUGGUCGAGUCGGCCUGCGCGGAAGAUGUAACGGGGCUAAACCAUGCACCGAAGCUGCGGCAGCGACACUUAGGUGUUGUUGGGUAGGGGAGCGUUCUGUAAGCCGUUGAAGGUGGACUGUGAGGUCUGCUGGAGGUAUCAGAAGUGCGAAUGCUGACAUAAGUAACGAUAAUGCGGGUGAAAAGCCCGCACGCCGGAAGACCAAGGGUUCCUGUCCAACGUUAAUCGGGGCAGGGUGAGUCGACCCCUAAGGCGAGGCUGAAAAGCGUAGUCGAUGGGAAACAGGUUAAUAUUCCUGUACUCGGUGUUACUGCGAAGGGGGGACGGAGAAGGCUAGGCUAGCCGGGCGACGGUUGUCCCGGUUUAAGCAUGUAGGCGGAGUGACCUGGUAAAUCCGGUUGCUUAUCAACGCUGAGGUGUGAUGACGAUGCACUACGGUGCAGAAGUAGUUGAUGCCAAGCUUCCAGGAAAAGCCUCUAAGCAUCAGGUAACAUUGAAUCGUACCCCAAACCGACACAGGUGGUCAGGUAGAGAAUACUCAGGCGCUUGAGAGAACUCGGGUGAAGGAACUAGGCAAAAUGGUGCCGUAACUUCGGGAGAAGGCACGCUGGCAUUAGGUAAAGAGACUUGCUCUCGUAGCCGAAGCCAGUCGCAGAUACCAGCUGGCUGCAACUGUUUAAUAAAAACACAGCACUGUGCAAACACGAAAGUGGACGUAUACGGUGUGACGCCUGCCCGGUGCUGGAAGGUUAAUUGAUGGGGUCAGCCGCAAGGCGAAGCUCUUGAUCGAAGCCCCAGUAAACGGCGGCCGUAACUAUAACGGUCCUAAGGUAGCGAAAUUCCUUGUCGGGUAAGUUCCGACCUGCACGAAUGGCGUAAUGAUGGCCAGGCUGUCUCCACCCGAGACUCAGUGAAAUUGAACUCGCUGUGAAGAUGCAGUGUACCCGCGGCAAGACGGAAAGACCCCGUGAACCUUUACUAUAGCUUGACACUGAACAUUGAGCCUUGAUGUGUAGGAUAGGUGGGAGGCAUCGAAGCGUGGACGCCAGUCUGCGUGGAGCCAACCUUGAAAUACCACCCUUUAAUGUUUGAUGUUCUAACUCGGCCCCGUAAUCCGGGGUGAGGACAGUGUCUGGUGGGUAGUUUGACUGGGGCGGUCUCCUCCCAAAGAGUAACGGAGGAGCACGAAGGUUAGCUAAUCACGGUCGGACAUCGUGAGGUUAGUGCAAAGGCAUAAGCUAGCUUGACUGCGAGAGUGACGGCUCGAGCAGGUACGAAAGUAGGUCUUAGUGAUCCGGUGGUUCUGAAUGGAAGGGCCAUCGCUCAACGGAUAAAAGGUACUCCGGGGAUAACAGGCUGAUACCGCCCAAGAGUUCAUAUCGACGGCGGUGUUUGGCACCUCGAUGUCGGCUCAUCACAUCCUGGGGCUGAAGUAGGUCCCAAGGGUAUGGCUGUUCGCCAUUUAAAGUGGUACGCGAGCUGGGUUUAGAACGUCGUGAGACAGUUCGGUCCCUAUCUGCCGUGGGCGUUGGAAGAUUGAGAGGGGCUGCUCCUAGUACGAGAGGACCGGAGUGGACGAAUCACUGGUGUUCGGGUUGUCAUGCCAAUGGCAUUGCCCGGUAGCUAAAUUCGGAAGAGAUAACCGCUGAAAGCAUCUAAGCGGGAAACUUGCCUCGAGAUGAGUCUUCCCUGGGGCUUUAAGCCCCCUGAAGGAACGUUAAAGACUAUGACGUUGAUAGGCUGGGUGUGUAAGUGCAGCGAUGCAUUGAGCUAACCAGUACUAAUGAUCCGUGAGGCUUAACCUU